rnacentral:tRNA from 1 species
CCCUAGUGGUUCAGAUGGUAAAGAAUCUGUCUGCAAUACAGGAGACCUGGGUUCAAUUCCUGGAUCAGGAA